UUCAGGAUGUAUUUCAGUGAUCAUGGUGCUGAUUCACUAUACUCAUCACUUAACCAUGUCAAUCUUGACUUUCGUGACCGGACUCGCAGUAUAGAACCCUGUUUAGUGGACUCCAAUUGCCCGGUUGGUAACAAGACGAAUUGUCCUCAGGCGAUAGUUUACCAACAGGCUAUGGAAGAUGGAGAGACCCGGCGAACUGAAUUGUGAUUUUAAUCAUGAUUUCAAACGUUCUCGAACAACGGCCAAAGAGGAUCGCCACCAAUAGACAGCAGUCCCGUAAGCUUCCUCCAACUUGAAAUCGUAAGUAAUUGAUUUUCUAAAUUUAUCUCCGAACUCUUGCUGUUUUGUCGGUCACACAUUGUAGAAUUUGUUCUCAUUUAAUUACGAAGCCAGAGAAGCAAAACGGCCCUUCUGUAUUGGUCCUUGAUGAAUAACAGUAGAAAGUGAAAGCCCUGAAGGGUGAUCCAUGAUAAAACUCA